GCAUAUCAAUAAGCGGAGGAAAAGAAACUAACAAGGAUUCCCUUAGUAACGGCGAGUGAAGAGGGAAGAGCUCAAAUUUUAAAUCUAUCAUGUUUGUACAUGAUCGAAUUGUAAUUUGAAGAAGCGUUUUCUCGUACUUUAUGCAAUCAGUAUAAGUUCUCUUGGAACAGGACAUCAUAGAGGGUGAUAAUCCCGUCUGUUACUGGUUGUGAGGUUCGUUAUGAUACGCUUUCAAAGAGUCGAGUUGUUUGGGAUUGCAGCUCCAAAUGGGUGGUAAACAUCACCUAAGGCUAAAUAUUGGCGAGAGACCGAUAGCGAACAAGUACCGUGAGGGAAAGAUGAAAAGAACUUUGAAAAGAGAGUUAAACAGUACGUGAAAUUGUUGAAAGGGAAACGAUUGAAGUCAGUCGUGCUGGCGCGAAAUCAGCUCGACCACUAGGGGAUCACAAGCUGUAGCGAGCCUCAAAACCGCUACGACUCGUGAUUGCUUAGUGGCCUGGUGCACUUUCGUGUCGGCUGGUUAACAUCAAUUUCGAUCGUCAUAAAAAGGCUGGAGGGAUGUGGCUCCUCCGGGAGUGUUAUAACCUUUAGCGGAAUGUGGUGAUCGGGAUUGAGGUUUGCAACGAAUACCUUCAGGGCUGUUCCACCUGGCUUCUCAUCGGCAUCCUGGCGGCGACAGCUUGCUGACGUUGUUAGGAUCAGCCUUCGAACAGGCUAGAGUGUGAGCAAAUUCGUUAAGGAUGUUGACGUA
rnacentral:rRNA from 1 species